GAUUGAGGAGUAAUGUAGGAGCCAGGCAGCGGACUGGAAUUCAAGUCAAGGCCAGAGUUGCCAAUCCCCAAUACAACAUCCUACAAGGUGAUGUCACCUGCUGAAAGCGGAUGUCCAUGUCGAAGUGUUAUUUACCCUCAGAUAUGGGAUGGUAGUCCUCCCCAGAUGUAGCAGAUCCAUCCUUGGUGUGAACUCGGACAACAGAGACCUUGGA